rnacentral:lncRNA from 1 species
AAAAUAAUUUGGAAAUCACUCGGAGAUAUCUUUACUGGAAGGUCCACUUCUCAAAUGACAGUUUUAUGAGAACCGUCGAACGCUUUAACAACCACGCCACUAAACCUCAUCGGGGCGCCUUGAUAGGAGAGUCUUGAUAGAGUUGACUUCGGUAACACAUUCAAUAAUGACCUUGUAUCAACCAUAACAUUAGACAAAGCAUCCUCCUUGUAAUUCAUCGAAAUAUGGAGCGCCAAAUUGUGAUUCAUGCCUUCCUCAGGAAA